rnacentral:rRNA from 1 species
AGUGAACGCUGGCGGUAGGCCUAACACAUGCAAGUCGAACGGCAGCACAGUAAGAGCUUGCUCUUACGGGUGGCGAGUGGCGGACGGGUGAGGAAUACAUCGGAAUCUACUUUUUCGUGGGGGAUAACGUAGGGAAACUUACGCUAAUACCGCAUACGACCUACGGGUGAAAGCAGGGGAUCUUCGGACCUUGCGCGAUUGAAUGGGCCGAUGUCGGAUUAGCUAGUUGGCGGGGUAAAGGCCCACCAAGGCGACGAUCCGUAGCUGGUCUGAGAGGAUGAUCAGCCACACUGGAACUGAGACACGGUCCAGACUCCUACGGGAGGCAGCAGUGGGGAAUAUUGGACAAUGGGCGCAAGCCUGAUCCAGCCAUACCGCGUGGGUGAAGAAGGCCUUCGGGUUGUAAAGCCCUUUUGUUGGGAAAGAAAAGCAGCAGGUUAAUACCCCGCUGUUCCGACGGUACCCAAAGAAUAAGCACCGGCUAACUUCGUG